UAGCCGUAAACGAUACUCGCUAGGUGUCGGCCACGGUGCGACCGUUGUCGGUGCCGUAGGGAAGCCGUGAAGCGAGCCACCUGGGAAGUACGGCCGCAAGGCUGAAACUUAAAGGAAUUGGCGGGGGAGCACAACAACGGGUGGAGCUUGCGGUUUAAUUGGAUUCAACGCCGGAAAUCUUACCGGGACCGACAGCAACUAUGAAGGCCAGGCUGAAGACUUUGCCGGAUUAGCUGAGAGGAGGUGCAUGGCGUAGUCGUGU
rnacentral:rRNA from 1 species